UACGAAGGGGGCUAGCGUUGCUCGGAAUCACUGGGCGUAAAGGGCGCGUAGGCGGCGUUUUAAGUCGGGGGUGAAAGCCUGUGGCUCAACCACAGAAUGGCCUCGAUACUGGGACGCUUGAGUAUGGUAGAGGUUGGUGGAACUGCGAGUGUAGAGGUGAAAUUCGUAGAUAUUCGCAAGAACACCGGUGGCGAAGGCGGCC
rnacentral:rRNA from 1 species